CGCAAAAAUAAAAUAAGCCCUAAAAAAUUAAAAACAAAAUUAGAAACUAAUGUUUCUCUGUAUAUGUGCUGCCAAAGUGAGCAUAAUGUUUCCCUACAUGAAUAAAUCUACCCAAUCUCCUGACUCAAUCCUGUAGUAGAGAGUUGUCUACUUCAGUAUUUGUUCUGUAUGUUUCCCUUAAUAAAAGAACUCUUGCCGGUUAACUCAUGCCUACCUGAAAUAAAUACUAUUGCUUACCUCCCUGAUUCUUAAAGCUGGUCUUUUUUUAUGUGAUAAAGUUCUGGAAAAGUAAGUUGUAAGUAAAAUAUUUUGUGACAUCCCUCAAGAAACCUCCUUAAAAAAUUGCUUGAAUGGGUUUUUUGUCCUUCCAUCCUACCCUCCAUCUGUCCUCCUUUCUGAAAUGAAGACAGCCCUCCUCGGGAUGGAGGUUUGAAGGAGAUGCUGUAUCAGCCUUGAAUUGCUUAUCUCUGGAUUUCAUGAGAGAGAAAGAAAUACUUCAAAAAAAUAUUAAAACCUUUGUUAUUUCACUUUGUGUGUGUGUGUGUGUGUGUUGUGUGUGUGUGACACAAUCCUUGACCCAAGCUUACAUAAUACAGAUCCUUUGCCAAGAUUAGCAUACAGUAUAAACAAAAAGAAAACUUCAAUACGGAAGAGCAGUUUUAAGUAGCAUACAGGUACUCUUGAGAUCCCCGUGAAAAAGUUCCAAAAAAGCAUGUCAAAACCAAGAAAGCAUGAGACUACAUCCAACUUCUAUUAAAUUGGGAUCAUUCAUCUUACAUCUUAUAUGCAGCUAAAUUUUAAUGAUUCAGUGAGAGACCUUCAAGAAAUCUCUACAAUGCCUCGAUGUCAAAGAGAAUACAAAAUGAGAAUGACAAAUGAUCUUGAAUGUGUUGUGACUGGUAGGGUGAUCUACACAAUAACAUUUUAUCACUGGAGUUCAAUGGUAAAUGAUUUGACCGAUGAAGAAAGCAAGAAUAAUUCAAACCAGAAGAUACCCUUUGAGGAUUGGUUGCUUUUCAGUUAUCUCCACUAACAAAAUUUUCUGAACAAGUUCCCCAAAUAUUAGGUUUAUGAAGUAAGUUCAAUGAAGAUCAAAUGCGUAUAAUAAAAUAAUAGUAAUAUCGAUAAUAACGGUUAUUUAUAAAUAUAAAUAUAUUUGACUUUCAUUUAGGAAAACAGCAAUCUGAUUGAAGAUUCCCUAAACUAUAUUCCAUGAUAUGUUCUAUACAGUGUGUGGAUUCCAAAUAUCAUUUAUCCGAUUAGCUACCAAUAUAGACUUGGGAUAGCACAACAUAAGGUACUGUCAGUCAAUGCCUAAAUGCAACAAUUCAUAGUUACAGAAGGUCCUAGAACCUUUUUCUUGCAAAUGCAGAAAAUGUUUCAUUUCAUUGUUUAUAAAACAGCAACAUCUCAAAAAGUGGUAUUGAUCCACAAUUAAAUCAGCUUAUUUUCCAGUCAUGCCCUUGAGGUGUUUGAUUUAGUUCUAGCAUUAUGCCUGCAAUUCUAAAUGGCCGCCGCUAGAUAGCAACAUUCAUUAUUUCAUUCAUGAAAUCGGUUCUGAGCAUCUAAUGUGUGGUAGCCACUCUUCUGGGUGCUGAGAUAAAAUCUAAAUGAUACAAAAAAAAUUUGAAUGAUAUAUGGUGCCUGCCUUCAAGAAUUUUAGACCCUAUCUGUAGGCAUACAAGAUGAAGACAAGAAAAUAAUUAAAGGAUUUGAUCAGACUCAGCAAAAGAGAACUGUUGUUGGUGUUUUUUAAACAGUAUAAAUGUCAUAGGCUAAAGACAGCAGCAAUGAUUUCUUAAUACUUCUCAGUAGCAUAUAAAAGUUUUUGAUCUGUAGGGUACCGUUGUGAAAUAGAAACGGACCCACUUGUUUUGCAAGUGAGAAAACCAAAUCUGUGAGAGGUGAAGAUAAAGAUCUUCUAGCCAGUUUCAUGGUAAAGAAUAGAGCUCAGUGGUCCUAAUUCCCCCUACAGAGCUGGUUAUAUUCCAGUGGACUGCCUGCUCUCAUGGUCUCAUCCAUUCAGCAAAAGUUUACGGAGUCCCUUCACUCUACUAAUAAGCACUAGGCAUAUAAAGAUGAAUAGUCUCGAAGGAAAGCAGAGAAGGAGAGGAGAAAGGAUUCCUGGAAUGUGUGGGAAAUUGAAGCUCUAAGACCUGAUGACUGAUUGAAUUGGAGAGUAAGCAAGAGGCCAGAGUGCAGAAUGUCUUCGGGGUCAUGGCCCCUUGCUGCAUGAAAUGCAGUUCAUAAAAAUGUGUUGAAAUGAAGGCUAUAUGAGAUAUGCCAUCAUAAGCUAGAUUUAAAUGGAUACAGCUACUGCACAUAGGUUUCCCUACGUCCACAUAAGUUUGUCUUUCAAACCUAAAAAAUUUCCAAUUGCUUGUAGAUAUAAUACUCUCAUUUAUAGUGCGUUGGCACAGUUCACCGUUUUGAAGUAACCUUUGCUGAAACUUCAUACUGAGCUAAUUACCUUAACUUGCUUAUGAUAAUUACUUUAGGCAGGACUAUCUUUUUCUUUCGGUACUUUUUUGAAGUCAUAUUUUGAGUGGGGAAAAAAAAAUCACAAAUCAGUUUCUUAACAGUGACUAUGGGGAUUUCUACUGAAAAUGUAUUUGUUGAGAUUUAAGUCCUGAGAGCAUCUAAGAUGUAAGAGAGUGAAUCUGAAUAUGAAAAUUCAGAGCCCUCAGAGUAAUCUGUUUUCCUUUUCAUUGACUCCAGCCUGGAGAGAGGCUCACACAGUUAUGGACCUGGCAGAAUAACAGCUGCCCUCCAGGCACAGACUUCUAAAAAUUUAAUAAGGUUCCCAUAGGACUUGGGUGGAUGUUGGAGGUUGUAAACCUUUCCAAAUUAACUGCUGAAGCUGGUAACAGACCUUGAUAUUGUAAUGGGUCGUUGGUAGCGAGCUCAUGUGCUGCCUAACCUGGUGUUUCCUCAUGUGGUUUUACCAAUGGCUAGACUAUACAUUAUACGUUGGCCUUCCCACCCAAACAACUGUGAUCUUCUUCCUGGACCUUAGCAAGUCCCCAUCCUCAGCUGAGACAAGCCUGUAAUUGAUCACUGUCUGCUGGGGCCAUCUUGUGUUUUAAGCUUGUCAAUGAUUUGCUCAGUUCUGACCUUUAAUAUCGGCCAACAACUCUCAUGAGCCUGGGACUGCCCAGACCCAAGAGGUGCUGUUGGAUCACACCUCUCUGAACGUCUUGCUCACAACCUCAGCUGUGCCAGCCUGAUGUGGUUGAUCGGAAGUGUUACACUUUGGCUUCUUUGUAGGAUCUAGCCUCAGGCUCAUUUUAAUGACUCUUAAAGUCAUUCACAAUCAAUACAUCCUUAUCAUAGUAUCAACAUCAUUCUUUUUCACCGUAGGUGGUUGCCUCUACAAAGCUUCAAACAAUUUCUGAGCUUUAUGGCUUACAAUUAGCCAUGAGAGAAAAACUGAUUUCAACGAUGUGUCAUUCCAGUAGUUACACUUCCAGUGAAGGAAUGAGAUUGGCCUAGCUGGAGUUGGGGACCCACCUCUAGAUCAACUCACUUGCCCACAGCCAGGAAUAUCACAAUUGGCCCAGCUUGGGUCAGAUGCUUGUCCCCAGACCUACAAUAUAUAACCAAUGAGGAAAGACGUGGGGGAAAUAGAGACGGUCAAUUCAGGAAGAAAGGAAAAGUUUUGGCAUACCAUGACACAGACUGUCACACACACUAUAACUUUGUGUAGUUGACAUGAUUAGGAUUCCAGGUCCAAGUUUGAAUUUAUGAGCAUGGGCUACAAUGAUAGAGAAUGAAAAAGACAAAUGCCCUCAAAUCCUGGUUUUGUCUGUCCUUCACCCAAAUAUAUUAAAGGUGCCACAAAGUCAAAAAGGUAGCUUCAGGCAGGUUUGCACGUGUAGAACUAUGAGGAUUUCUAGUGGCCAUCUAUUCUAGCUGACUUUAUUUAAAAAAAAAAAUUUAAUCUCAAGGUUGGAGAGAAUCAUGAAUUAUGCAAUAUCAAACACUUCUUAGUAUCUCUUCUAGCUUAGACACGAUGUUGAAGGUUCAAGAAACACAAAGACUGACGAAGACACAGACACACAUGCAUAUAGUCAUGCAUGGCAUUAGGUGCAAAUGGGGAAGCCUAGUCCAGGUUCUAUGAGAGCAGCCAGUGCCGAUUCCAAAUGUGUUAGUGUAUGUGCUAGCAUGUGUGGGUAGAGAUUGGGUACGUGUGAGAGUGUGAGUGAAAGAGGGUGCAGUGUCUAAGUGGUUGGGGGGUGUUUGAGGAUGGAUUCCUGAAGGAGGUAAACCCCUUCUGAUUACUAAAAGAUUAGGACUUAAUCAAAGGGAAUUGAGGAGAUUAGAGCAGAAGCACACUCAAGAUCAAAAGAACAACAUAUAAAUGCCAUAGGAAUGUAGUGUAUCAUGAUAUGUUAAAGGGAUUAUGAAAAGUCAAGGGCUGCUGGACUAGGAAAGAGGCAAAUCUCUUGAAGAGUAAGCCAUGAUUUAGGGAGCAGAUUGGGAGAAUCUUCAUUGACACUGCCGAGAUCUUGGUUUUUUAUUGUAAUUUAUGGAAAACAAGUGAAAAUCUGUAAGCACAGGCCAGUCAAAGAGUAAUAUGGAGUGGAGUGGAGUUGAUGGGUACCAGGCUGUGUCCAGGCAGUCCUAUUACAAGAUCUUUGUAAUUAUCUGGGAAAAAGAUGUCAAGAGAGUGAACCUGACCACAGUAGUAGGAUAUGGAGGAAGGCAGACAGGAGGGAGUUCAACAACAACAUAGAAAGUAGAAUUAGCAGUGCCUUAAAGACAUCAAGUUCAAACUCUGAAAGGAUUAUCAUAAUUCUGUGUUAUCCACCAGUCAUCCAAAGCUGUCGGACAUUCCCAGGACUUAGAAGUCAUUGAAUCUGGAGGCACCUUAUUUCACUGUGCAACACUACCCUGUAAAUGUGUGACACUUCAGUGGGAUUUAGUUCACCAGAAAUCUUAUCUCUCCCAAAGAAGAGACCUGUCACAGGGAAGAAGGGAAGGGUCCAGCCCAGAAGGUGCCAUACCAAGCACAGGAGAUAAAUUUUCCUGGUCUGUGUUUAAUCAAGUGUGUUUUCCAAAGAUGAAUAUGUUUAUAAAAGGCAUAUCUGCUCCGUAAUAUUGUAUUACUUAAAUUUUGAACAUAACGAGCAUGCAUGGAUAGAAGGUUUGCUUUAUUUGUAUAAUCAACGAGCUCUUAACCAUCCUUCUUUGAAACAACUAUCUUUAAACCUCUGUAAAAUGUGUAUUAAAAAUAAUAAUCUUUGAGUUUUUCUUAGAUUGCUUCAUGGAAUCUGAUCUUCUGAUCCAGGUCUUUGUACAGUUAGAAUCUAACUGGAUCAGAUGAUGCCAGAGGUCCCCUCCAGCUCCCUACCACCACAAUCAGUUAGCAGAAAUUCCACUUUAAUCACACAGCGGCUGCAGGUCAAAAAAAGGAAAGCAAACCAGAGGUGGAAAUCUCAGCCUAAUGAACACUGAGAAAAGAUUAGAAGAGGGUUAAAUUUCGGUGUGAUAAUUAAUUACACUCCAACAAGAACAGAAUUUUAUGAAUGUUGGCUAAUUGUAAUUCAAGCUAUAUUCAUUCACACAAAUCUCUUUCCCAACAUCACCUCCAAUUCUGAGGUGGAAAGAGACUAUCUCUUUUCAGUAUUUCUUAUCUCAUUUAUAGUUAAUACAAACAACAGUCUCAAGUCUGUGGAGAUGUAAUUAAUUAUCAAGGUAGUAUUACAUAUCUUACAUAAGUAAUUAUAACUGCAUGUACUCAUUCAUAUUAUCUAAUCAGCUCUUAACUAAUUACUCCUACUUUGGAUGUAGUUUUAUCUUAAGGAUCUUGACAAAAAAUGGUUACACCAUGACACAACAGAAUAGAAGAUGUCUUACAUGCUAUUUUUUAAUAAAGAGAAUAAAAGAUUCCAAAAUCAAGUGGAUUCUGCGCAUUUUUAAGAGUAUUACAAUGCGAUUGAACAUUUCACUGUAUUCUUUGACAUUCCAAUAGGCCAAGGGGCUACUCAUUCCUAGAGCCAUGCCACCUACAGGGAAGGAAUUAUGCCUGGUUUGAACCAUCUGAGUGAACCAUCUUUCUGCAUGUCUCAGAAGUCAGGCAAACUUCAUCCUAUCCCAUCUAUUAGGAAAAACUAAAGGCAGGAGGAGUGGCCUGAGAAAUAACAAUUCUACCAGCGAGAAGAAAACUAGCCAAUGUAAACUGUGCAGCCUGGCAGAAUACCUAUACUUACUCAAGUAACUUCUAUUGCCUGUGUGGACAGGCAGAAUAGCAAAUUACAGUGUAAGUCAUUACUGUAGAUUAAAGAUUCUUCUUUAACAGUUCUUCUGACAAAUUAAUGCUGAUUGGACAGAAAGAAGCAGAUCCAAUAAAGAGCAACACAGCCACAGGAGAUUAAGGAAAUAAUAAUCUUUCGUUCCGCAGAGGCACCUAAGGCAGGCAGUUGCCGCAGGAAUAGUAACAGCCACGUGCUCCUCUCCAUUUCUCAUCUUCUCCUGCAGUUUGGAGGGGAGGGACUGUGUGAAUAAUUCUUCCCGACAGAAUCUUAAAGGGAACGAUGCAUCACUUCCUGUCAAGUAACUGCCAGGGAUCCCGUUGCCUGGAGACCACUCUUGAACAUCCAUUGCUGUGGCCUCUUGGAGAUUUAAGGCAUCUAAUAAGGAGCUGACAGAAACCAUCAGCUUGCUCCUGAGAAAGUAGCAUUUUUUUUAAAUCACCAUAAAGCACUUGUCUGGAUAUUACGUAUUUCAGUCAUUGGCCCACAUAACUCUACGGUGACGAACAAAAGAAAUGGAUCGAAUAAAGCCAGCUGCAAAUAGAUACCCACGGCCACGUGCUGGAAUGCAGAUAGCCUAUCAACAAUGAGAUAAAGCUUUCUGAAAUAGAAGGCCACUGAACCAAGAUUUCUGACACAUGUCCAAGUGCUGGCUUUUAAAAUGGAGCGUAACAGAAAGCACAUUCUUCCCAGUCACUGGAAUUCUUUCAAAGAAGCAGUUGUAUGAAAUGGAAGACGACGGUAUAUUGAAGCAAACUGGAUAGAGGAUAAGGAUUGUCAGUGUUCCUCUCACGUGGCCCUUGAAGUCUUGGCCGACAAGAUCAUGAAUCUUGGUGUCACAGCACCUAUGCUGACUGCACACAGCUUGCUGAAGAUGUUGGUGCCACUCUCUGAGCAUUUGGGAAGGCAAUGCUGAGACGUGUCUGGUCCUACAUCUGCAAUCGUCUGAGAUCCAGACUUAGACACCCAGCAUGGUUGUCUAGGACACUAGUUUUUGAAGCUAUUGUUUUAAUCUCAUUAUGAAAAGAAGAAAUUAUGCUACUUUACUCCUUGUACAUCCGUGUUUUACGAGGCUCUCAGACUAUUAUCCUCCUAAAGUUCAGCCUGCUGACAUACCAACAAAUGGUAGGAUUUAGAUUUACACCAGCUUAAGAAUGGGAAAGGGCUCAGGAUCAUGUCUCACUCUGAGUUCAAAAAUUAGGCAGUAAUUUACAUUCUUGAAGUAUCAUUGAAAUCCUUGCAACAGAUGUCUUUUCUCCCAAAAUUGAAUAGAUGUGGUUAGAACCAUCCCUGUUCCUUUACUCAGGGCUGUCUGUGGUCAGUGGCAAACAGUUUAAUAUAGAUCCUAAUGGUAGAGACAACAUCGGUUAGUUUUUGUACAGGAUCCUGUCUUCUUAUACAUUGUUGUAUCUUCAGAAUGAAUUAAUAUGUAAAUCUUAGGCUGUAUAGUAAUCAAUUCAUUCAUUUGAUUCAACAAAUGUUUAUUGAGAGCCUACCAUGUGCCAAGUACUAUUUGAGAUAUUUGGAAUACAUUAUUAAGACACUUGUCCUUGAAGAGAUUACAUUUUGGAAGGAGCGGAGGAACAGGCAAUAAACAUAACAAAGUAUAAAUAUUGUCAGAAGAUAUUAAAUUCCACAAGGAAUAAAACGAUAAGUCAGCAGGAUAAGGAGGAUCAGAGGAAGGGAGACAAGCGAGUUGAGAUACAACAACUUGAAGGCAGUGAAAGAGUUGGCCAAGCGAACACCUGGAAAAGGGCACUCCAAGCAGAUGGCACAGCCACCAGAGAAUAAUUUGGGUCUCAGAUAGUCAAGCAAGGAGGUCAGCGUAGCUGAGGGAGAGUGCCGCAGGGGGAAAAUGGUAGGAGAUGAGGUCAGAGGUUAGCAGGUCAGGUCCAGAGGGACUCGGAGACCAUUUAAGAACUUUGGCUCUUACUCUGCAUGGAUAUAGGGUGCUGCUAACGGGCUCUGAGCAGAGGAGUGACAUGAUCCAAAAUUGGGUUUUGGAAGGAAUCCCUCCGGUUGCUGGGCUGAGAAGAGACGGUCAGGAGUGAGGGUAAGCUGAGAAAGGACCAGGAGGCAAUGGCAGUAAUCCAGGUGAGAGGUAUUUUUCAGAGAUGAAAUCAGCGACCUUGGUUCCCCAUGAGUUAACUUACCGAUGCUAGCUAGCCCAGACUGAAACGACUUUAUACAUAUGCUAAAGAAAUCUAUUUAGAUAGAUACAGCUCUGCCAAUACAUUUCACCUCGAGAAAUGCUCGGGUAUGCUUUUUAAUUCUUACAUUUUGUGAGCAGGUGGUACAAUGAAUGGACACCAACUUCAAACAAACUCCCAUAAGAACCACCAGGACUAACUUACCCGAAAGGAACAUUCAAAUUCACAUCAAUCAAUAACAGCUAAUAAUGGCCUCCGUUAAUUUGUUUUAAUUUUGACCAAGUGAUAAUAUUGCCAUCAUUUUUUUUUUUUUUUUAACAAUCCUUGAUGGAACUGCUACCUCUGUUGAACUCUUGAGUGUAUCUCGUCCCAAAGAGAAUGAUCAACAAAGUCAGUCCUGGAUACACGCUAUACAUUCUGUUAUACCUACUCAUAGCUCAUCUGUGACAUAGCUUCUGAAUUGAAAGCAAAGAAAAAAAAAACAGGAAGAGAGAGAAUAAAAUAUUUGCUCACAUCUGGGAAGAAUUCAACUAAUUUCUUUAGCUGACUAAGUGACAAUGAUGAGUUAUGGCACAACACUGGUAUAGAUAUCUUCAGGAAUACGAACAUGUAUUGGUCAGCAGCUCUACAACGAUGGUGAUACAUAUUUGUGUAGAACCCACAAUAUAUCUGGUUCUUUGGGAGCACAUGAAGGACUGACCUGCAUUUAAACAAUCCAUUAUGGGGGCGCCUGGGUGGCUCGGUCAGGGUGCAGUUAGCUGUGAGGUGACAAAUAAGGACACAACGCACACAGUAAUGGAUAUUAGUGGAUGGGACCAGGAGCCAGGGGACCAGAGAA